rnacentral:rRNA from 1 species
GUCGAACGCUUUGUGGUUCAACUGAUUUGAACAGCUUGGUCUUAUAUGACGAUGGACAUUCCCAAAAAUGGGGAAGGGGUGAGUAACAGGUGGGAAACCUGCGUCUUAGCAGGGGAUAGCAUUUGGAAACAGAUGCUAGUACCGUGAUACAAUAGCAACGGGAUGGUUGCUACUUAAAAGAUGGUUCUGCUAUCACUAAGAGAUGGUCCCGCGGUGCAUUAGUUAGUUGGUGAGGUAAUGGCUCACCAAGACGAUGAUGCAUAACCGAGUUGAGAGACUGAUCGGCCACAAUGGGACUGAGACACGGCCCAUACUCCUACGGGAGGCAGCAGUAGGGAAUCUUCCACAAUGGGCGAAAGCCUGAUGGAGCAACGCCGCGUGUGUGAUGAAGGGUUUCGGCUCGUAAAACACUGUUGUAAGAGAAGAAUGACAUUGAGAGUAACUGUUCAAUGUGUGACGGUAUCUUACCAGAAAGGAACGGCUAACUACGUGCCCAGCA